CUGGAGACCCCUGGACCUCGCCCUCCCCGGGCAACGGGCCGAACACUCGAUACUGUCGGCGCUUGGCACAAGAUUUGACCGGGUUCGGAGCCUUUUGUCCGCUUUAGCAGCCACACAAUGCGAUGGAGUGGUCAGUUCCGGUGCCCUCGUCCUCUGUGCCCGCAGACUCAGCCACAAUCUGAGCAAGCACAACAGCUUUGACCGAGUCCCAUACAAUUUAACGUGGCUGCAAUAACCACGUUAUUAUAGCACCCAUCCCCUCAAAAUAAACACCGCAACAUAUUUAAACACAAUAAAUUCUGCAGACGCUGGAAAUCCAGGGCAACACACUCAAGAUGCUGGAGGAACUCAGCAGGUUAGGCAUCAUCUAUGGAAAUGAAUAAACAGCCGACGUUUCGGGUCGAGUCCCUUUUCAGUUCUGGAAAGGAGGGGGAAAGACGCCAGAACCGCAAUAUUAUUUUAUCGCGAGGAUACAGAUUAUUUCACAACAAAAGCAUCUGCCAAUGGAGCAUCCAAGGAUGGUGAUGGAAUUGAAAUGAAGUAUGCCUUGAUGGGAGCUGGAAUAGGAAUAUUUCUAGUUGUCUCAUUUGUCUUGGUUAAGAUUUACAUGAUUAAAAAGCACAUCUAUGAAAAUGAUUUAACAGAUCCUCCAUCCAGGCAAAGCCAGUCAUUACGAGAAGAGAGACACAGAAUUGCCUAGAACUGAAAGCCCCAGGAGCAGUGAGUGGGCCGUCAGCUUGGACAACUGCUUCGCUGAAGGAGAGAUGUUUGUGUUUGCAGUUACCACCUGGGACAAGUUUGGAUCCAUUUCUGGAUAUUACAUGGAAUACACAAUUUAUUUAGUAUUGAAAUAAGAUGUUUAGUUUAUCCCAGCACUAACAUUCGGCUCCAUGCUACCUUUCCCCAGCUAACUCCGUUGGCAGAACCAUCCGUUCCUGCCUCUAUUGUAUCCUUACCGAGAUUCUGUCUAUCCCAUUUAAUUUGGUACUUCAUCUAGUACCCUACCAAUCUUCACUCUCUGGAUAAACAAAGUGCUUGGUUUUCUAAUGGAUUUAUUAGGCUUGAUAUUGAUUUUUUAUUAGAUUUUCUAAUUUAAAAAUUUUUUUUAUUGGAUAAUGUAGUAUUCCUGUUGCAUGAAACUUCGCACUUUUAAUCUUAAACUGCUGUCACAGCAUGUCAUUAGACUGCCUCUUCAAGCAAAUGUUGACCACAGCCAACUGGACCAUACCCGCUGUCUUGAUUCUGGCACCUGUGGCCAUUAAAGUAUUUACACAGGCGGAUUCUUAUCAAUUGUAACAGAUGUUGUAAAUAGAACUAGAAAAGUGCACAAGCCAGUAAAGUUAGGAUGUAUCUUAAACAUUCACACCCACACAGAUAUUUUGCUUGGUAGUGUAGAGGAUUGUCAAAGAUUGCACAGAGACAUUGAUAGGUUGCAGAAGUGGGCUGAGAAGUGGCAGAUGGAGUUCAACCCGGAGAAGUGUGAGGUGGUACACUUUGGAAGGACAAACUCCAAGGCAGAGUACAAAGUAAAUAGCAGGAUACUUGGUAGUGUGGAGGAGCAGAGGGAUGUGGGGGUACAUGUCCACAGAUCCCUGAAAGUUGCCUCACAGGUAGAUAGGGUAGUUAAGAAAGCUUAUGGGGUGUUAGCUUUCAUAAGUCAAGGGAUAGAGUUUAAGAGUUACAAUGUAAUGAUGCAGCUCUAUAAAACUCUGGUUAGGCCACGCUUGGAGUACUGUGUCCAGUUCUGGUCACCUCACUAUAGGAAGGAUGUGGAAGUAUUGGAAAGGGUACAGAGGAGAUUUACCAGGAUGCUGCCUGAUUUAGAAAGUAUGCAUUAUGAUCAGAGAUUAAGGGAGCUAGGGCUUUACUCUUUGGAGAGAAGGAGGAUGAGAGGAGACAUGAUUGAAGUAUACAAGAUAAUAAGAGGAAUAAAUAGAGUGGAUAGCCAGCGCCUCUUCCCCAGGGCACCACUGCUUGAUACAAGAGGACAUGGCUUUAAGGUAAGAGGUGGGAAGUUUAAGAGGGAUAUUAGAGGAAGGUUUUUUACUCAGAGAGUGGUUGAUGUGUGGAAUGCACUGCUUGAGUCAGUGGUGGAGGCAGAUACACUAGUGAAGUUUAAGAGACUACUAGACAGGUAUAUGGAGGAAUUUAAGGUGGGGGCUUAUAUGGGAGGCAGGGUUUGAGGGCCGGCACAACGCUGUGGGCCGAAGGGCCUGUAAUGUGCUGUACUAUUCUAUGUUCCAUGUUCCCCAUUUUCAAAGAUCUUGUGGCCUUUCCAACAGUGCAAGCUUGUAAGGAAGAGAUCAUUCCUAAUCACCAGCUCCCAAAGCUGCAGACUGCCAUCGGUGACGGUGACCAGCAGAAAUGCAGGACAAUACGUUCAAAUGCAUAUGCAGCAACCCGAUAUUGUGUGCAAUAAUUCAGAGAGUAUGAGCACCAGCACAGAGCGGACAGGGCGGAAUGUCUUGAUCCUGUGCUGUAAAUCUCAUGUCAUUCCAAGCAGACCCACUGUAAACUGCAUUACAGCCACGCAAAUGUUAAUUCAACAUCUUGACUGCAUGUUGCUAAUAUUUAGUAGCUUUGCAGUUAUUUCAGGAGAUUGUAUAAACCAGAACCUUGUUGUUUUGUUGCUUAACAUGGCAAUAUCCUCUUUUUUAUUGUGUAUUUUGAGUCAUAUGUGUUCUGUGUCUGUAAAAUUAAUAGGUAUAAUUAAUAAAUUGUUAGAUGUAAAUGUAUAAAAUCAGCAGAUUUCUGAAUGGUGAGCAGCUGGAUGUGAAAUUUCUUUAUUCAAGUAUUCUUCUCCAAUCUGUUCUGAUUUCCCACCAAGCCUGAUGACCUCCUGUCAGUCCCUGAUCUCUCAGCCUCUCUGCAGCCCUCAGUCCUCCCUUGCAGUUUUUCCUGCCCAUAUUGGAUUUCUGCAUUUUGUUUACAACAAACUAAACGUGCUCACCAAAAAACACAUUUCCUAGUUUGAUCUGUUACGUACCCCGUAACUGGGUUGCCAAACCAGCAGAAAUGGAUCAUUCAGUUGGAGUCUGGAUUACUAGAACUAAGAAAGUUUUAUUAAAGAAACAAGCAACACAGUACUCUAAUCAAAAGGAUAAUAAAUGCAACAGUUCAGCAAUGAUAAACACACAUGCACACAGAAUUAAGAUAACAGGAUCAAUCAAGCUCUAUCUAAGGGUAAAUGACCAGUUUCAAAGUGACGCAAAGUUCAGUUCAAUUUAGUUCAGUUCAGUUUGCAGUAAUCGCUGCCGUGGCGAUGGACAGUGGGGGGAAGGAGAGAGAGAGCAAAACGAAUGACUAUUCAACACAGCUUCCACACAGACCUUCGCAGUCAGCUUUCGGGCGAGUCCUUUGUGAUGUCAUCUGAGGUCACCGACCGUGACCCCUCCGUUUCCAGAUGCGAUCAUUUCCCUGCGGUGAACCCGGCACCCAGGCAAGGGUGGACACACACCAGGUUCCCGCCGAUCGUGCCUUUCCACCCUGUGCGUCUAUGGCCCGGUACUUCCCACCGACUUGUGAGAGACGCACUGCUUCCAGGGUCUCGUUACCUCGGGUGUCGUGUGUGUCCUGCCUUAGCGAACCUGUCCCUUUUUAUCCCCCUGCUGGGGUAUCGCCUGUCCAUCACUUCAAACAGUUCAGGGUUCAAAGGGGGAGCCGCUCUUGACAGCUCUCCUUCCUUCAUUAACAUCUCCAAAUGCUGCUCCAUUGUUUUCCUUAUCUCUCUCUCUCCUGAAGACUGGUGACAGACCAACUGCUGAUUCCACUGGUGCCAGCACAGGACAGCUACAUCGUAAUCUAUGUGUAUUCUUGUCACAGAUUCCAAUCAAAAGUACGUAAUUAGAAAGUUGCAAUCCUAAUUUAUGUUAUUAUUUGCGGCCAGAAACCUCUGUAACCAUGAGGAUAGUCAUAUUAGAAUCAAGUUACACUUAACGGCCACUUUAUUAGGUAUACCUGUACUCUUGCUCGAUAGUGAAAAUAUCUAAUCAGCCAAACACGUAGCAGCAACUCAAUGCGUUAAAAAACACGCAGACAUGAUCAAACGGUUGAGUUGUGGGUCAGACCAAACAUCAGAACGGGGAAGAAAUGUGAUCGAAGUGAUUUUAACCAUGGAAUGGUUGUUGGUGCGGCGGGGGGGGGGUGAUUUGAGUAUCUCAGAAACCACUGGGAUUUUCACGCACAACAGUCUCAAGAGUUUACAGAGAAUGGAACAAAAAACAAAAAAAAAAAAUCCAGAGCACGUCAGUUCUGCGGGAAAGAAUGCUUUGUUACUGAGAGAGUUCAGAGUAGAAUGGCCAGACUGGUUCAAGCUGACAGGAAGUCGACAGUAUCUCAUAUAGCCACACAUUCCAACAGUGGCGUGUAGACGAACAUCUACGAAUCUUGAAGUGGAUGGGCUACAGCAGCAGAAGACCACAAAUAUAUACCCAGUGGCCACUGUGUUAGGUACAGGAGGUACUUAAUAAAGUGGCCGGGGAGUAUGUAUGUAUAAUGAACCACUUUGGAUUCUUGAUGUAUUCUGACUACUCAAUGAAGUUAUU